rnacentral:rRNA from 1 species
UACCCGUACCGUAAACCGACACAGGUGGAUGAGGAGAGAAUCCUAAGGCCGACGGGAGAAGCAUUGUUAAGGAACUCGGCAAAAUGACUCCGUAACUUCGGGAGAAGGAGUGCCAGUGAGAGCUGGCCGCAGAGAAUUGGCCCAAGCAACUGUUUAGCAAAAACACAGGUCUAUGCAAAACCGAAAGGUGAAGUAUAUGGGCUGACGCCUGCCCGGUGCUGGAAGGUUAAGGGGAGAGGUUAGCGCAAGCGAAGCUUUGAACUUAAGCCCCAGUAAACGGCGGCCGUAACUAUAACGGUCCUAAGGUAGCGAAAUUCCUUGUCGGGUAAGUUCCGACCCGCACGAAAGGCGUAAUGAUUUGGGCACUGUCUCAACAAUGCACCCGGUGAAAUUGAAAUACCAGUGAAGAUGCUGGUUACCUGCGCCAGGACGGAAAGACCCCAUGGAGCUUUACUCCAGCUUGAUACUGGGAUUCGGUAUUGCAUGUACAGGAUAGGUGGGAGGCUAGGAAAUGGUAACGCCAGUUGCCAUGGAGCCGCUGUUGGGAUACCACCCUUGCAGUAUUGGAUUUCUAACCAGCAGCCGUGAACCGGCUGGGGGACAAUGUCAGGUGGGGAGUUUGACUGGGGCGGUCGCCUCCGAAAGGGUAUCGGAGGCGCUCAAAGGUUCCCUCAGAAUGGUUGGAAACCAUUCGAAGAGUGCAAAGGCAGAAGGGAGCUUGACUGCGACACCGACGGGUGGAGCAGGUACGAAAGUAGGACUUAGUGAUCCGGUGGUAUAAAGUGGGAUUGCCAUCGCUCAACGGAUAAAAGCUACCCUGGGGAUAACAGGCUUAUCACUCCCAAGAGUUCACAUCGACGGAGUGGUUUGGCACCUCGAUGUCGGCUCAUCGCAUCCUGGGGCUGAAGUAGGUCCCAAGGGUUGGGCUGUUCGCCCAUUAAAGCGGUACGCGAGCUGGGUUCAGAACGUCGUGAGACAGUUCGGUCCCUAU